CAGUAGCCGCGGUAAUACGUAGGGUGCGAGCGUUAAUCGGAAUUACUGGGCGUAUAGCGUGCGCAGGCGGUCCGCUAAGACAGAUGUGAAAUCCCCGGGCUUAACCUGGGAACUGCAUUUGUGACUGGCGGGCUAGAGUAUGGCAGAGGGGGGUAGAAUUCCACGUGUAGCAGUGAAAUGCGUAGAGAUGUGGAGGAAUACCGAUGGCGAAGGCAGCCCCCUGGGCCAAUACUGACGCUCAUGCACGAAAGCGUGGGGAGCAAACAGGAUUAGAUACCCCGGUAGUCCCUGUCUUUAUACA
rnacentral:rRNA from 1 species